GCGCUGUGCGAGGAGAAGCCCAGCCCAGCACCCCUCUCUGACCAGCAUGGCCUUCACAGGGCGCUGCCGGGCACGUCUCCCUUCCCUCUCUGGCCAACAGGCAAGAAUCCAAGAUGACAUAUUCUACGGAAGCCUUCCUGCAGAGCUGUCAUCAGGAGUGAUCCAGCCCUUUUCCGGAGUGUCACGGUUUAUAAGUCAAUAAAGCGUCUGUGACUUUCCAAUCGC